GAGGAAUCUAAGGUGUGCUAGUGGUAUGCUGUGUCCUUUCCCACUUUAUGUUUUUGUUUGACUUGUUGAAGAUCAGUUGGCUGUAACUAUUUGGGUUUAUUUCUGGGUUCUCCAUUCUGUUCCAUUGGUCUAUGUGCCUAUUUUUAUACCAGUACCAUGAUGUUUUGGUGCCUAUGGCCUUAUAGUAUAGUGUGAAGUCAGGUAACAUGAUGCCUCCAAAUGAUUUUGCUUAGUCUUGCUUUGGGUGUGUGGGCUCUCUUUUUGGUUUCAUAUACACUUUAGUAUUGUUUUUUCUAGUUCUGUGAAGAAUGAUGAUGGUAUUUUGAUAGGAAUUGCAUUGAAUUUGUAAACUGCUUUUGGCAGUAUGGUCAUUUUCACAAUAUUGAUUCCACUCAUCGAUGAGCAUGGGAUGUGUUUCCAUUUGUGUCAUCUAUGAUUUCUUUCAGCUGUGUUUUGUAGUUCUCUUUGUAGAGGCCUUUCACCUUUUUGGUUAGGUAUAUUCCUAAGUAUUUUUUGUAUUUUUUUUUUCUUGCAGCUAUUGUAAAAGGAGUUGAGUUCUUGAUUUGAUCCUCAGCUUGGUUGCUGUUGGUGUAUAGGAGAGCUACUGACUUGUGUACAUUAAUUUUGUGUACAGAAACUUUGCUGAAUUCUUUCAUCAGUUCCAGGAGCUUUGUGGAGGAGUCCUUAGGGUUUUCUAG
rnacentral:lncRNA from 10 species